GUCAACAAUAAUAUUAUUAACAUUGUGUGGUACAUUUUUCUCUCGAGCGGAUCUGUUGCGACGACGGUUUUGACGGAAUCGCAACCACGAUACGACAGGUGACGGCGGCAGCCGUGACACCGGAAACUUAUGUUUCGAUACAGCAGACGUGCCCGAGAUGACAGCGUUGAAAAUAAAAAAAAAAACGCGACGAUAACAAUGCGGUAUAUAAUACACGAAAAAUAUAAGCG